CUUGCACUUUGGCAGACUGAGUGGCGGACGGGUGAGUAACGCGUGGGUAACCUGCCUUAUACAGGGGGAUAACAGUUGGAAACGACUGCUAAUACCGCAUAACAUUGCCGAACGGCAUCGUUUGGCAAUCAAAGGAGCAAUCCGCUGAAAGAUGGGCUCGCGUCUGAUUAGAUAGUUGGUGAGGUAACGGCCCACCAAGUCGACGAUCAGUAGCCGGACUGAGAGGUUGAACGGCCACAUUGGGACUGAGAUACGGCCCAGACUCC
rnacentral:rRNA from 2 species